rnacentral:rRNA from 1 species
UACGUAGGGCGCAAGCGUUGUCCGGAAUUAUUGGGCGUAAAGAGCUCGUAGGCGGUUUGUCGCGUCUGUCGUGAAAGCUUGGGGCUUAACCCCAAGUCUGCGGUGGAUACGGGCAGACUAGAGGCAGGUAGGGGAGAACGUAAUUCCCGGUGUAGCGGUGAAAUGCGCAGAUAUCGGGAGGAACACCGGUGGCGAAGGCGGUUCUCUGGGCCUGUACUGACGCUGAGGAGCGAAAGCGUGGGGAGCGAACAGG